GUAAUGUGUGUACACACUGGGUAUUAUGGGUAAUGUGUGUAUACUGGGGUAUUAUGGGUAAUGUGUACACACUGGGGUAUUAUGGGUAAUGUGUGUACACACUGGGGUAUUAUGGGUAAUGUGUACACACUGGGGUAUUAUGGGUAAUGUGUGUAUACUGGGGUAUUAUGGGUAAUGUGUACACACUGGGGUAUUAUGGGUAAUGUGUACACACUGGGGUAUUAU